rnacentral:lncRNA from 1 species
UGGUGGUGUUAGUCUCCAUUAUUAUAUCCUUCAUGAAAGUCUAUCUCAUAAACUCAGGCUUGAACUUAGUAACCUAGUCACAUGACCUGUGCCAACUGUGAGGGAUAUUAGAAAACAUAGUCAUUAGCUGGGUUCAAUGUCACCCUCAAUAAUAUGGAGCUUCUGUUAGAAAAGAGGGAAGGAAGUCCGGAGGUUAGAUAAGUGACUGGUCUUUUCUGCUACCAAAAGUUUAAUGAAAAGUUUCUGCUUUCCCUAAACUGAUCUCAGGUAUGGUGAAAAGACUUCAUCACUUGGAGAUAUAUUAUUUAUUAACCCUUUUUAUACAAAUAUUUUGAACGAUUGUUUAUGGAAAGAUUUCUGUAAUAAUUAGAGAUACAGGUCAAUCAGCGUUGGUUGUCAGCGAGUAAAUAAAUUUCCCACUACGGAUGCACUAAUGAUUACAGACUGAAAAAUUGUAAAGUUAGAAAAUGGUGAUUAAUUAAAGUGAAAAUCUUAUAACUAACUCAGAUUUUUACCAAAAGUUCCAAUUUGAAAUGACUUGCCUUGACAGGUGAUGAGUAAAAUUUCAUUAGAAACAAAUCAGAUGCUUUAUCUCCGCAUUGUUCUGAUCUGAACUCUCUGUUUUUUUUAUUAACAUGAAUAUUUCCAAAAUACAACUUGGAGUCCUGACAAUUUAAAAGGCAUUAUGUGAGAAAACAUCAUUCUGCAACUGAAAGAGCGUAACUGUUGUCUUGACUGUGGUGACAUUCUCAUCAAUGAGUGUUGUUUUCUAUCAGAUUUGUUUGAACAAGCAUAAAAGAGAAGGCAUUGCCUUGAUAACAUUAAAAGCAGCACUCC